rnacentral:lncRNA from 1 species
UCAAAGUAGGAUUGGAUCGAUGCUGUAAUACUCGACAUGAGUUUAUUUCAGUAACUUGUGCCAGUUCUUGACGUAAAGUUGCUAUGGAGGAUUCCAAUGUAAUAAUCUGCUCCCUUAGAAAGGCUUCAAUGUUGGUUUUCUCUUUAACUUGAAAAAGCAAAUGCUGAUUCUUACGAUAUAGCUCCGUUACGUAACCAGCAUCUUUAUGUUCGUUUUUCCUGCGUCUCUUUUGUAAUGAGACCUCAUCUGAAGUCUCAUCUACAUCAAGAGAUACAGGCAUACUUUCAAGCUUUAGCUUAUAUUCAUCAACCAGCUUGACCAGACCUUCAAUUCUUUCCAACUUCUUCAUAUCAGUAUUUUUUUCACUCAAAAUCGCCUCCUCAUCAUCAUAGCUUUUAAGGUUUUCCCUUAAAAGGUCAAUUUCUUGGGUUGCCAAAGAUUUUUGUCUUUGUAGACGUCGGUUCUGCUCAUGAAGUUCUUUAAGCUUUGUUUCAAGUUCGGUAAUAUGAGCGGCGUCUUUUUCAUUUGCACCAAGCGGCUGGUUUGCAGGCUUAUUAGACAAUUGACUCUCUAAACUAGAAACGCGCUCUCCGAGAUUAGCAUUGGUAUUCUGUAGAAACACGAGUUUGUUUGAAACAGCUUCAGGGGUUGGUAACUCGUUAGUAAUUAAACUCUUCCAAGAAUUUAAUUCAGUUUGAAUUUUUUCAUUUUCGAGUUCAAGGGUAGCAACCUUAUCCCUAUAUUCUUCAAAACGAUAAAGUUUGGACUCCAAAUCGUUUUUCUCUUCCUUGAGAAUUUCAACAUUCCUAUUAUUGGAUGAUAGCUUUUCAAUUCGUUCUUCCUGCGCAGCUUUUAAUUUUUCCAACUCGCUAAUUUGAAGACGUUGCUCAGCAUUUAUUUUUUCCAGUUCAAUAGAACUAGAAACCUGCUUGAUGGACUCUUCCAAUUGCUGAUUAUGAACUGAAAGCUCUUGUAAUUGCUGCUCGGCAGCCGCAAGUUCCUUACACUUCGUUUCAAGCUGUUCGCGGGAAUCCGCAAAGAGUUUUUCAAGGUUUGUAAGAUUGGUAUCCUUCAUUUGCAAAGCUUGAUUUGAGACCAUUACUUCAUGAUUCUUUUCACUUAAAGCUUGAUCAUUCUUUUCUAUCUGGGUUUUCAACUCUGCAAUCUCUUUCCAUUUUGCAUCAAGUAGUUCAUGGAUCUUCACCUGAGUGGCUUCCUUUUCAUUUCUUACUUCUUCUAUUUCUUUUUGAUAAGAAGUAGACUGCUCCUCCAGUUGCUUUUCAACUAGAGUUAGACGCAGCUGUAACGAAUUCUUCUGUUCAUGUUCUUCUGCAAGUUUUCUUUGCAACUCAAUUUGUUCACGCUCAAAUUCCAGUUCCUUCCGCUUUAAAUCAUUUUUUAGGUUUUCUAGUUGAAAUUCUAAAGAAGCUAGUUUGGGAUUUUUUGUUUCUACAGGGUGUCAGAUCCAUAAACAAACGUCAAAUAUAAGUUUCACAUACCAUUAGCAGAAUUAACAGAAGGCUUCUUCAAAUUUGGUUUCUUAACGCUUGUUGCUAGAAAUCUAGGCAACUGUGAACGCGAUUGGAACGGAUCCCUAGGAGAAUCCGCCAUGGAUGUAGUCGCUUGAUACACUGUCAGCUUGGAGCUCAUAGUGAGAAAUUGAUUUUUGGUAUACCUCUUUAAUAUAAUAUUGACAAUAUGGAGGACAAAUUGCAUCUCAGUAAUUUAUUGAAAUCAGGGAAUUAAAGAAAGGUAGGACUGACUGCAUAUGCUCAAACAACAUACUUGUUUAAUGAUAUCUAAAUUAAUGGAACUUAUUACUUUUUCUUUUUUUUUAAAUCAUAGACCUUGUUAUUAUUAUAUUAUAUAUUUAAUGUGUUGAAUUCCUUAAUCAAUUUUCGAUGCACGUGUGAACAUAAAAGCUUUUAAGUCUUCUAGUUUUUUUAUAUUGAUAUUAUUAUUAUUUAUUUAAAUUGCUAGACCAAAUCGCGUACCCUAAGGAACUUACGUA